UCAUGGCUCAGAUUGAACGCUGGCGGCAGGCCUUAACACAUGCAAGUCGAGCGGAUGAAGGGAGCUUGCUCCUGGAUUCAGCGGCGGACGGGUGAGUAAUGCCUAGGAAUCUGCCUGGUAGUGGGGGAUAACGUCCGGGAAACGGGCGCUAAUACCGCAUACGUCCUGAGGGAGAAAGUGGGGGAUCUUCGGACCUCACGCUAUCAGAUGAGCCUAGGUCGGAUUAGCUAGUUGGUGGGGUAAAGGCCUACCAAGGCGACGAUCCGUAACUGGUCUGAGAGGAUGAUCAGUCACACUGGAACUGAGACACGGUCCAGACUCCUACGGGAGGCAGCAGUGGGGAAUAUUGGACAAUGGGCGAAAGCCUGAUCCAGCCAUGCCGCGUGUGUGAAGAAGGUCUUCGGAUUGUAAAGCACUUUAAGUUGGGAGGAAGGGCAGUAAGUUAAUACCUUGCUGUUUUGACGUUACCAACAGAAUAAGCACCGGCUAACUUCGUGCCAGCAGCCGCGGUAAUACGAAGGGUGCAAGCGUUAAUCGGAAUUACUGGGCGUAAAGCGCGCGUAGGUGGUUCAGCAAGUUGGAUGUGAAAUCCCCGGGCUCAACCUGGGAACUGCAUCCAAAACUACUGAGCUAGAGUACGGUAGAGGGUGGUGGAAUUUCCUGUGUAGCGGUGAAAUGCGUAGAUAUAGGAAGGAACACCAGUGGCGAAGGCGACCACCUGGACUGAUACUGACACUGAGGUGCGAAAGCGUGGGGAGCAAACAGGAUUAGAUACCCUGGUAGUCCACGCCGUAAACGAUGUCGACUAGCCGUUGGGAUCCUUGAGAUCUUAGUGGCGCAGCUAACGCGAUAAG
rnacentral:rRNA from 1 species